rnacentral:rRNA from 1 species
AGUGGGGGAUAACGUAGCGAAAGUUACGCUAAUACCGCAUAUGCCCCGAGGGGGAAAGGAGGGGAUCGCAAGACCUUUCGCUUUCGGAGUGGCCGAUAUCGGAUUAGCUAGUAGGUGAGGUAAAGGCUCACCUAGGCGACGAUCCGUAGCUGGUCUGAGAGGACGACCAGCCACACUGGGACUGAGACACGGCCCAGACUCCUACGGGAGGCAGCAGUGGGGAAUUUUGGACAAUGGGCGCAAGCCUGGUCCAGCCAUGCCGCGUGAGUGAAGAAGGCCUUCGGGUUGUAAAGCUCUUUCAGCUGGAAAGAAAUCGUAUCUACUAAUACUAGGUGCGGAUGACGGUACCAGCAGAAGAAGCACCGGCUAACUACGUGCCAGCAGCCGCGGUAAUACGUAGGGUGCGAGCGUUAAUCGGAAUUACUGGGCGUAAAGCGUGCGCAGGCGGCUUUUUAAGCCAGAUGUGAAAUCCCCGGGCUUAACCUGGGAACUGCAUUUGGAACUGGAAGGCUAGAGUGUAGAAGAGGGGGGUAGAAUUCCA